rnacentral:rRNA from 1 species
GAUGAACGCUGGCGGCGUGCCUAAUACAUGCAAGUCGAGCGAACAGACGAGGAGCUUGCUCCUUUGACGUUAGCGGCGGACGGGUGAGUAACACGUAGGUAACCUCCCUAUAAGACUGGGAUAACUUCGGGAAACCGGAGCUAAUACCGGAUAAUAUUUCGAACCGCAUGGUUCGAUAGUGAAAGAUGGCUUUGCUAUCACUUAUAGCUGGACCUGCGCCGUAUUAGCUAGUUGGUAAGGUAACGGCUUACCAAGGCAACGAUACGUAGCCGACCUGAGAGGGUGAUCGGCCACACUGGAACUGAGACACGGUCCAGACUCCUACGGGAGGCAGCAGUAGGGAAUCUUCCGCAAUGGGCGAAAGCCUGACGGAGCAACGCCGCGUGAGUGAUGAAGGUCUUCGGAUCGUAAAACUCUGUUAUUAGGGAAGAACAAACGUGUAAGUAACUGUGCACGGCUUGACGGUACCUAAUCAGAAAGCCACGGCUAACUACGUG